rnacentral:rRNA from 1 species
UACGAAGGGGGCUAGCGUUGUCCGGAAUUACUGGGCGUAAAGCGCCUGUAGGCGGGAACGUGCGUCGGACGUGAAAGGCGGGGGCUUAACCCCCCGAGCGGCGUUCGAAACGGCGUUUCUUUGAGGGUCGAAGAGGAGCGUGGAAUUCCUGGUGUAGCGGUGAAAUGCGUAGAUAUUGGGAGGAACACCAGUGGCGAAGGCGGCUCACUGGACCGGUACUGACGCUGAUGCGCGAAAAGCGUGGGGAGCAAACGGG